GACGAACGCUGGCGGCGUGCUUAACACAUGCAAGUCGAACGAUGAACCCGGAGCUUGCUCCGGUGGAUUAGUGGCGAACGGGUGAGUAACACGUGAGUAACCUGCCCUUGACUCUGGGAUAACUGCGGGAAACUGUAGCUAAUACCGGAUACGACCCUCGGCGGCAUCGCCAGGGGGUGGAAAGAAUUUCGGUCAAGGAUGGACUCGCGGCCUAUCAGCUAGUUGGUGAGGUAACGGCUCACCAAGGCGACGACGGGUAGCCGGCCUGAGAGGGUGACCGGCCACACUGGGACUGAGACACGGCCCAGACUCCUACGGGAGGCAGCAGUGGGGAAUAUUGCACAAUGGGCGCAAGCCUGAUGCAGUAACGCCGCGUGAGGGGUGACGGCCUUCGGGUUGUAAACCUCUUUUAGUAGGGAAGAAGCGAAAGUGACGGUACCUGCAGAAAAAGCACCGGCUAACUACGUGCCAGCAGCCGCGGUAA
rnacentral:rRNA from 1 species